rnacentral:rRNA from 1 species
UGGUGGAGUGAUCUGUCUGGUUAAUUCCGUUAACGAACGAGACCUUGACCUAUUAACUAGCUGUGGGAAUUCUGAUUCGCCAGAGCUUCUUAGAGGGACUAUCGGUUUUUAGCCGGUGGAAGAUCGAGGCAAUAACA